UCCUUGCCCUUGGUUAUGUCCUCAUCAAAACCUGGUCUCUGCUUGUCAUCGGGCCCGCCGCCUCUGGAUGACAAAAGGGUGCGGAUAACCGUAAGGUGUCUCCGCGGGCUACCAGCUCUUGGGUCAUGGUAACAGAAAGCGGCGCGGUCGACAAAAGCGAGGCUUUUGCUCCUACGUAUCCUCCAAUGAGGAACUCAGACCUACGUAGUUCUGGAUAACUUGUGAGACUUGAAAAGUCUCCAUCGGAAAAUUCUUACAUCUCCGGAAAAGGCGCAGAUGACCACAUUGGCCUCUGCUCAUCAAUCACACUUGGGGUCACUGAAUGACGAGGUGCGGAUAACCGUAAGGUGUCUCUGCGGGCUACCAGCUCUUGGGUCAUGGCAACAAAAGGCGGUGUGGUCGACAAAAGCGAGGCUCUUGCUCCUACGUAUCCCCCAAUGAGGAACUCAGACCUACGUAGUUCUGGAUAACUUGUGAGACUUGAAAAAGUCUCGGUGUUUUCUCCACUAAAAUGCAAACAUGCUUUAGCAAAGAGACAAA
rnacentral:lncRNA from 1 species